GACGAACGCUGGCGGCGCGCCUAACACAUGCAAGUCGAACGGAGUCAAGAGGAGCUUGCUUUUCUUGACUUAGUGGCGAACGGGUGAGUAACGCGUGAGUAACCUGCCCUGGAGUGGGGGACAACAGUUGGAAACGACUGCUAAUACCGCAUAAGCCCACGGAUCCGCAUGGAUCUGCGGGAAAAGGAUUUAUUCGCUUCAGGAUGGACUCGCGUCCAAUUAGCUAGUUGGUGAGGUAACGGCCCACCAAGGCGACGAUUGGUAGCCGGACUGAGAGGUUGAACGGCCACAUUGGGACUGAGACACGGCCCAGACUCCUACGGGAGGCAGCAGUGGGGGAUAUUGCACAAUGGGGGAAACCCUGAUGCAGCGACGCCGCGUGGAGGAAGAAGGUUUUCGGAUUGUAAACUCCUGUCGUUAGGGACGAUAAUGACGGUACCUAACAAGAAAGCACCAGCUAACUACGU
rnacentral:rRNA from 1 species